UUUAACUGAGCGUUCAGUUACUUGACGUAGACCCGAAACCGGGCGACCUACCCAUGAGCAGGAUGAAGCGAAAGUAAAAUUUCGUGGAGGUCCGAACCCACGAGCGUUGAAAAGCUCGGGGAUGACUUGUGGGUAGCGGUGAAAUUCCAAUCGAGCCCGGAGAUAGCUGGUUCUCCCCGAAAUAGCUUUAGGGCUAGCCUCAAGGUGAGAGAUACGGAGGUAGAGCACUGAAUGUCCUAGGGGGUAUUGCACCUACCGAAGACUAUCAAACUCCGAAUGCCGUCAUCUUAUACUUGGGAGUCAGACUGUGGGUGAUAAGAUUCAUAGUCGAAAGGGCAACAGCCCAGAUCGUCAGCUAAGGUCCCUAAAUGUAAGUUAAGUGGUAAAGGAUGUGGGAUUGCACAGACAACCAGGAUGUUGGCUUAGAAGCAGCCACUCAUUCAAAGAGUGCGUAAUAGCUCACUGGUCGAGUGAUCCUGCGCCGAAGAUUUCCGGGGCUAAAACUUACUACCGAAGCUACGGCAUCAGUAAUGAUGGGUAGGGGAGCUUCCCAUACGGGUUGAAGCAUGACCGUAAGGACAUGUGGACAGUAUGGGAGUGAGAAUGUUGGCAUGAGUAGCGAGAUGUGGGU
rnacentral:rRNA from 1 species